rnacentral:snoRNA from 13 species
CCCAGCAGUUGUCAGCCCUCCAGGCUCACGUGAUGGGCUGCAGGGCUGAUGCUGCACCGUUGGAAGAGCCAGUGUUGAGGUUUGGCUCCGAUCACUGUUUUGGUGCUGGGCAGAAUACCUUUGGACAAUGUUUUCCACCUCCAAGAGUGGAAAGCCUCCUCCAGAGGAGUUGGUCCUAAUCUGAGUAUAAACAAU